GACGAACGCUGGCGGCGUGCCUAAUACAUGCAAGUAGAACGCUGAAGGAGGAGCUUGCUUCGCUGGAUGAGUGGCGAACGGGUGAGUAACGCGUAGGUAACCUGCCUGGUAGCGGGGGAUAACUAUUGGAAACGAGGGCUAAUACCGCAUAAGAUUGACUAUUGCAUGAUAGUCAGUGGAAAGUUUCAACGGCACGGCUACCAGAUGGACCUGCGUUGUAUUAGGUAGGGGGUGGGGUAACGGCUCACCAAGGCGAGGAACCGUCCCCGACCGGGGUGGGGGGUCAGCCACCCUGGGACUGUGACCCGCCCCAGUCUCCCACAGGAGGCAGCAGUACGCCAUCGUCGGCCAGGGGUGGGAAUCUGUCCGCGCUACGCCGCAUCCGUGUAGAGGGUUUCCGCGUCGUAAAGCUCUGUUGUCGGGGUAGAACGAGUGUGCGCGUGGAAAGAUCACUCUGUGACGGUAUCUUAUCAGGAAGCACCGGCUAACUACGUG
rnacentral:rRNA from 1 species